CAAAACUAAAAACCAGUUCUUCUCCCUCCCUGCUACUCUUAUUCUCGCAGAAAAAUAGUCAAAAUCUUCCAAUCCUUCAGACCCAGUCUUCUUCCUCCUAAUAAAACCCGCACUUCAACGCUUCCUGCAGCAAUUCCUCUGUGUUACUUCUUCAAGCUAUGGGUGGUAAUGGCAAACACAGAUGGAAAAUCUCCUUCCACCAUCGCUCCAAAUCCAACCACAAACCUGCUAAUCCUCCAAAAGAGUUCGUUUGCCCCAUUUCUGGAUCCUUAAUGUCCGACCCGGUUGUUGUCUCCUCCGGUCAGACCUUCGAGCGCGUUUCUGUCCAGGUUUGCCGUGACCUGGGUUUCGCUCCUCCCCUCGACGAUGACUCGAUUCCGGAUUUCACUACUGUAAUUCCUAAUUUAGCCAUCAAAUCGACGAUUCUCAGCUGGUGCAAUACUUCUAGCUAUGAACGCCCUGGCCCGCCGGAUUACAGCUCUGUCGAAAAAGUCGUCCGUACGAAGAUGGCGGAAUCCAGAAGUUUGAACCCCGAGAUUAGGGUCUCCGAGAGCGAGUUGCUGAAUGCUGUGGCGGAGAAUCCUCCAGUUCUGUUCUCGCACGCCGCAACCGAGUUUGGUCACCGAGUCAAUCAUUUCUACUCGAGCUCCUCCGAGGAAUCCGUGAUCGUCAAUAACGAGAACGCGAGUCCGUUUACUCCGUUGCCUCUCGCGACUCGGCCGGCUUGUUACGCUUCGUCUUCUAACUCAUCAUCGGAAAUUACAGAAGCUGAAACCCUAACCCUAAUGCAAAAUACCAAUUCCGCUGACUCCAGUUCCAAUUCCUCACUCGCUGAAGAGAAAGAGAUUUUGGCUAAGCUUAAAAGCCCUGAAGUACACGAACAAGAAGAAGCGGUGAUUUCGCUGAGGAAGCUCACUAGAGCUCGAGAGGAACUGAGAAUUUCUCUCUCUACUCCCCGAUUACUCACAGCUCUCCGUUCCUCGAUUGCUUCGAGAUACUGUGUCGUGCAAACGAACGCCAUCGCUUCACUGGUGAAUCUGUCGCUGGAGAAAGCAAACAAAGUUAAAAUCGUACGGUCAGGAUUCGUUCCUCUGUUGAUUGAUGUGUUGAAAGCAGGAUCCAGUGAACCGCAGGAGCAUGCUGCCGGUGCGCUCUUCAGUUUAGCUUUAGAAGACGAGAACAAGAUGGCAAUUGGGGUUUUGGGCGCGUUACACCCAUUGAUGCACGCUCUGAGGUCUGAGAGUGAGCGAACUCGUCAUGACUCAGCUUUGGCAUUGUAUCAUUUGAGUCUAAUACAGAGUAACCGGGUCAAGCUGGUGAAACUCGGCGCUGUGCCUACACUGCUGAGCAUGCUGAAAGCGGGUGACUUGGCCAGUCGGCUGUUGCUAAUUUUAUGCAAUUUAGCUGUUUGCAAUGAAGGGAGAUCGGCAAUGCUGGACGGAAAUGCGGUGGCGAUAUUGGUGGGGAUGUUGAGAGAGGGAAGCAAGCGGGUGGAUUCUGAAGCUACUCGGGAGAAUUGCGUGGCGGCAUUGUUCGCGUUGAGUCAUGGGAGCUUGAGAUUUAAAGGGCUAGCAAAGGAGGCGAGAGCAGUGGAGGUGUUGAGGGAGAUAGAAGAGAGAGGGAACGAGAGAGCGAGAGAGAAAGCCAAGAAAAUUUUGCAGAUGAUGAGAGGGAGAGACGAGGACGAUGAGGAAGCUGAUUGGGAAGAUGUAUUGGAAUCGGGUGGACUCAGCCGGAGUCGAUACCAGGUUGGUGGCGGGGCGAGAAAUGGGAAUUGCCCAAACUCGUCAAAUUUCUGAUUGUAAAAAGUUUGUAAUUAUUCAUGGGAGAAGAAAACAUGGGGUUUUCACUUUUCAUUUUGAAGGUGUAAAGAACUGAGGAUAUGGAAUGCUUGUGGGCCUUUUUUCCCCUGAUUUAAAAUUUUUGUGUUAAUUGAUUGUAAGUAGGGUUUUUAAGAUUAUGAAAUGCGGAGGUGUAUAUAAAAACAGAUUUUUGGAAGAGUG
rnacentral:misc_RNA from 1 species